UUUUAAUUGAAGGCUUGUAUGAAGGGUUGGACAAAGAAUAAGCUGUCUUUAUUUUUAUUUUUGAAUUUGUCUUUUAGGUGAAAAGACUUAAAUAUAUUUAAGGGACGAUAAGACCCUGUAAAGCUUUAUAUUGGGUGCUUGUAUUUUGGGUUUUAAUGUUCAUAAGAAUAUGAGUGUAAGAUAUUAUAUUGGGGUGAUAAGAAUAAUUAAUAAACUGUUCUAAGAUAAAACAAAUUUAUUUGAGUAAUAGUAGAUCCUUUAUAGAGAUUAAAAGUUUAAGUUACUUUAGGGAUAACAGCGUUAUUUUUUUUGAGAGUUCAAAUCGAAAAAGAAGUUUGCGACCUCGAUGUUGAAUUAAAAUUUCUUUAUGGUGUAGUAGCUAUAAGAGAGAGUCUGUUCGACUUUUAAAUUUUUACGUGAUCU
rnacentral:rRNA from 1 species